UUAGAUAUCCGACGUGGGAUACGAGUAAAAUACAAUAUGUCUGCAUCGAAACCCUAACCGGCCAAGACGUGGUUGAGUCCAUCGGAGGGAUUUCCAAGACAUCUUCCCCGCCGUUGGUUGUCUCGGGCCGAUCCGGUCGCCGACCGUUCCACGACAACACCUUCAAUUUCGAGUUUUCCAGCUGAGUUAGCUUCCCAAGUAUGGAUUCUUCGUCCACACAUUGUCCAAAAUGCCUGUACAGUCUCAAUUCAUUGCUUGAUUUGUUCAGUUCUUGAAGAUGGAAAAUGAAAUUGUUGGCCAUGGCAAGGAAAAAAAAGCAACCUUGAAUGCUUGAGUUACUGUAAGUGCGCAAAUCCUGGAUGUCCGGUGAGGAAGCACGUGGGUGGAGCUUAUAAAUAAUUCCACCAGACGAGAAUUGAGAAUCCGGCCGGAUAAUGUAGAUCAAACUCAGCCUAUAUCCGUUUGAUAGUUUCCCAAGAGGCAAUCUAUGCGUCUCGGGUGGAAUCAACAAAGGAACCUCUUUUGCACGGAUUAUCUGGAGUUGCUCAUCAUCUGCAACUUCAAGAAAAUGUGUUGUUCUUGAACUUCUUACAAGUGUUCCAGAAAAAUGGAGAUUGUAAAAUAAAUUCUUAUUAUGAAAAUAGUAACUCGUUUUAUGAUGUAUAGGCAUCAAACCUUUCACUUGGCUCUCAAUCUGCUAUGUUUUAUGUGAAUUGCAGAAAUAGAGCUUAGUUGACAAGAAAUAGAGCUAUUAGUUAACCCAACUUAGGAUUGUGUUGUCUGAAAGAUAUGCAUUGAGCUUUAGGACUCUAGUUGGCUGAGUUUGGGUUGGCUUGUGACCAGUUGAGUCAUAUGGUGGUGUAGGCAAACACUAAACUUGUUUAGUUCUAUAUUUCUCUAUUCAAUCCAUAUUUUGGUGGUGUUUUGUAAUUUAAUUUUAAAUUCUCAAUAUGAUGUUUUCACUGUUUAAUCUUAUGAUUUGUUUAUUACUCACAGUAGUUACUACAAGUGCACGAAUCCUGGAUGUCCGGUCAGGAAGCACGUAGAUCGUAGAUAGAGCAUUGCAUGAUCUAAGGUCAGUGAUAACAACCUAUGAGGGGAAGCACAACCAUGAUGGCCCUACACCAUGUGGUAGUGGCAGCCAUUCCAUCAAUAGGCCUUUUUCCAACAACAAUAAUGCAGGCAUGAAGAUAAGGCCUUCUGGCAUGACGCAUGAUCGCUCUGAUGAGUCGGUGAUCGACCCAAUUCACACUUUUAGGCUGCCAACUUUUGAAAGCCAAGCACCCUUCACGUUAGAGAUGUUGCAGAGCCCUGGGAGCUUUGGGUUCUCAGGGUUGGUUUGGAAGCUUGUAGACAACUGAAGGUAAAAACACACUAUUUGAAUAUGCUAAUUCACACAUAUGCAACCAAUAUUGGUAUAUGAUGUUGAUACACAAUCCUCUAUAAUCGGUACCCACAUAUCCUACACGCAAUACAACUUUCUUUUCAUGGAACGAUUCCCAUUUCUCACCGUUGAGAUGGACAUCGCAACUUUGGGUUGUGGUGGACGGAGAAGAAGAUGGUGAUGAAGAAGAGGAAAAGAAAGAGUAAACUAGUCUUUAAUAAAUUGAAAAUCUUGUGGUGUGCGUUGCAAUGGCAUAACCCUUGGGGUGCAUUUUGGCUCUCGCAGUAGCUGUCAACCUCUGGAAGUCACUAAGUCUGCUGGCACCACCAUACUUUCCAGUACCAAAGGGUGAAGAAGCCACACAGCAUGCGAUGAAAAGAGUAGCCCAAGGCGGUGUGACCAGUUAUUGCUUUUGGCAUGCCCAUUACUUAUAAAUUGACUAUUUUAACUCUUGUUUUUGAGUCGAAAACUUGUAGGGAUGUCGAUGGGGUGGGUUUGGGAUAGGGGUGUCUCGGGAAUAAAAAGUUUUUCCCAAACUCAUCCCACCCCCACAUUGAAGUCGAGGAGGGUCUCGGGGAUACCGGUAUACAUAUUUUUUAAGAAAAACAAUUCAAAGCAAAUCUAAGAUAAAUUCUUUAAGAAUAAAUUAAGUAUAUACAAGUACUUAAAAAUCAUAAUAACAAAAAAAGAAAAAAAAAAGUUAAACUUCAAAACUAUCAUUAAAAUGAAGGAAAAAGAAAAACUAUAACUAAUAAAACGAUGUUUAUUUAUAUAUUUAUUAUUAAUUAGGGCGAGUUCGGGGCUAUGCGGAUUUUAAACUUUCUUUCCAAACACAUCCCUAGCCUUGUUAGGAUGAUCCCAAACCCGCCCCAAUAGGGGCAGGACGGGAAAGACCCCAACAGCACGGGUUAAAUUGACAUCCCUAUAAACUCUAGAGCUCGAUCUCUGUUUCCUCCUCUGUUCAAAAUAUGAAUGUUAGUGCCUGAAUCCGGAAUAUAAAUGUCAGUACUUGAAGUUUAAGAGAGAUUGAAGGAGGCAAUGAAGAGAGAACGGAGAAGAAAUAGAGGUCUUGAAAUAGAGGUCUUUGUUCACAGUAUGGGAAGGUGACGAGACUCAUCCUGUUGACAUCUCUACAAGUUUAUCACUCAAGAACAAGAGUUAGAAUAAUCAAUUUAUAAGCAUAAUUAUAAUUAACUUGAAGGCACUAAUGGAUGAAGCAUCCCCCUUUCUCGGCUCUUGUUGUAGCUUGCCAUGACAACCGAAAAUAUAAGCAACUUCAAGGGGCAAUCUGUCUCUCAGGUGGAAUCAACAAAGGAGCCUCUCAUGCUUGGAUUAUCCGUGGAAACAGACUCUUUAUCUGGAGUUUCUCAUCAUCUGCACCUUCAAGAAAAUGUGUUGGUCUCGAACUUCCUACAAGUGUUCCAAAAAACGGAGAUAUUAGAACAAAUUCUUAUUAUGAAAUAGUAGCUCGUUUUGUGUUGUCAGUUGAGAUAACACACAAGAACACAAACGAAGUUGUGCAACUCUUCUGAUAUUGUUGUGUUUUUUGAAAACUAGAGCUGUUGUAUACUGACCAGAGAUCUAUUCAGAAGGUGGGACUACUUUGUUGAUGAGUCUCUGCAUCAACUAGUGAAUAAGAGUUUGAGUUUUUUACCUGGUGAUGGGAAGACCAUGCCUAACCAGCUGUGGCUGCGUAGCAGACCGAUUGUGGGAUUUACAAUGUUUUGUUAUUAACAUUUCUCUUGAUUUUAAUGUACCAAUGCUUUGGACUCGUGAAAUUAUUGUAACUGAUGGUGAUUUGGGUUUCAA